ACGCUGGCGGCAUGCUUUACACAUGCAAGUCGGACGGCAGCACAGAGAAGCUUGCUUCUUGGGUGGCGAGUGGCGAACGGGUGAGUAACAUAUCGGAACGUACCGAGCAGUGGGGGAUAACUAAUCGAAAGAUUAGCUAAUACCGCAUAUAUUCUGAGGAAGAAAGCAGGGGACCAUUUGGCCUUGCGCUGUUUGAGCGGCCGAUAUCUGAUUAGCUAGUUGGUGGGGUAAAGGCCUACCAAGGCGACGAUCAGUAGCGGGUCUGAGAGGAUGAUCCGCCACACUGGGACUGAGAUACGGCCCAGACUCCUACGGGAGGCAGCAGUGGGGAAUUUUGGACAAUGGGCGCAAGCCUGAUCCAGCCAUGCCGCGUGUCUGAAGAAGGCCUUCGGGUUGUAAAGGACUUUUGUCAGGGAAGAAAAGGGCGGGGUUAAUACCCCUGUCUGAUGACGGUACCUGAAGAAUAAGCACCGGCUAACUACGUGCCAGCAGCCGCGGUAAUACGUAGGGUGCGAGCGUUAAUCGGAAUUACUGGGCGUAAAGCGGGCGCAGACGGUUACUUAAGCAGGAUGUGAAAUCCCCGGGCUCAACCUGGGAACUGCGUUCUGAACUGGGUGACUAGAGUGUGUCAGAGGGAGGUAGAAUUCCACGUGUAGCAGUGAAAUGCGUAGAGAUGUGGAGGAAUACCGAUGGCGAAGGCAGCCUCCUGGGAUAACACUGACGUUCAUGCCCGAAAGCGUGGGUAGCAAACAGGAUUAGAUACCCUGGUAGUCCACGCCCUAAACGAUGUCGAUUAGCUGUUGGGCAGCAUGACUGCUUAGUAGCGAAGCUAACGCGUGAAAUCGACCGCCUGGGGAGUACGGUCGCAAGAUUAAAACUCAAAGGAAUUGACGGGGACCCGCACAAGCGGUGGAUGAUGUGGAU
rnacentral:rRNA from 1 species